GAACCAGUACUGUGAAGGAAAGGCGAAAAGAACCCCGGGAGGGGAGUGAAAUAGAAUCUGAAACCGCGUACAUACAAACAGUAGGAGCCCGUAAGGGUGACUGCGUACCUUUUGCAUAAUGGGUCAGCGACUUACGUUUUGUGGCGAGCCUAACCGAGUAGGGGAGGCGAAGCGAAAGCGAGUCCGAACAGGGCGCCUAGUCGCAAGGCGUAGACCCGAAACCAGAUGAGCUAACCAUGGCCAGGUUGAAGGUGUGGUAACACACGCUGGAGGACCGAACGAACCGGUGUUGCAAAACCGGUCGAUGAGCUGUGGUUAGGGGUGAAAGGCUUAACAAAUCUGGAGAUAGCUGGUUCUCCCCGAAAACUAUUGAGGUAGUGCCUCACGCGAUCGCUCCAGGGGGUAGAGCACUGUUAUGGCUAGGGGGACAUGGCGUCUUACCAAACCAUGGCAAACUCCGAAUACUUGGAAGCGCAGCGUGGGAGACAGAGCACCGGGUGCUAACGUCCGGACUCAAAAGGGAAACAACCCAGACCGCCGUUUAAGGUCCCUAAUAUUAACUAAGUGGGAAACGAAGUGUGAAGGCUAAGACAGUCAGGAAGUUGGCUUAGAAGCAGCCAUCCUUCAAAGAAAGCGUAAUAGCUCACUGAUCGAGUCCUCAUGCGCGGAAGAUGUAACGGGGCUAAGUUAAUAACCGAAAGCGCGGAUUUCGCAGCGAUGCGAAGUGGUAGGGGAGCGUUCUGUAAGCCUGCGAAGGUGACUUGAGAAGGUUGCUGGAGGUAUCAGAAGUGCGAAUGCUGACAUGAGUAACGAUAAAGCGGGUGAAAAGCCCGCUCGCCGCAAACCCAAGGUUUCCUGCUCUACGUUCAUCGGAGCAGGGUGAGUCGGCCCCUAAGGCCAGGCUGAGAAGCGUAGUCGAUGGGAAUCAGGUUAAUAAUCCUGAACCGCAUCAGAAUGCGAUGGGGGGACGGAGUUUGGAAGGUCAUCCGGGUGUUGGACAUCCCGGUUUGUGAGAGUAGGAGGUUCGCAGGCAAAUCCGCGGACAGAUCUCCGAGUCAAAGCAUCGAGUUUUCGUCAGAAAGCGAAGUGAUUGGAAGAACUUCCAGGAAAAGCCUCUAAGCUUCAGUUUUGAUGUGACCGUACCGUAAACCGACACAGGUGGGUGAGUUGAAUAUACUAAGGCGCUUGAGAGAACUCGGGAGAAGGAACUCGGCAAAUUGACACCGUAACUUCGGAAGAAGGUGUGCCCGUGUAACGAGGCAAGGGGAAACCCCUUGAGCGUGAAAGGGUCUCAGAGAAAUGGUGGCUGCGACUGUUUAUCAAAAACACAGCACUCUGCAAAGACGAAAGUCGACGUAUAGGGUGUGAUGCCUGCCCGGUGCUGGAAGAUUAAGUGAUGAGCUGCAAGGUUCUGAUCGAAGUCCCAGUAAACGGCGGCCGUAACUAUAACGGUCCUAAGGUAGCGAAAUUCCUUGUCGGGUAAGUUCCGACCUGCACGAAUGGCAUAACGAUGGCCACACUGUCUCCUCCCGAGACUCAGUGAAGUUGAAAUGUUUGUGAUGAUGCAAUCUCCCCGCGGCUAGACGGAAAGACCCCAUGAACCUUUACUGUAGCUUUACAUUGGACUUUGAACCGAUUUGUGUAGGAUAGGCGGGAGGCUGUGAACGAUGUACGCCAGUGCGUCGGGAGCCGACGUUGAAAUACCGCCCUGAUUUGUUUGAGGUUCUAACCGCGAUCGGUUAUCCCGGUCCGGGACCGUGUAUGGUAGGCAGUUUGACUGGGGCGGUCUCCUCCUAAAGGGUAACGGAGGAGUACAAAGGUACGCUAGGUACGGUCGGAAAUCGUGCUGAUAGUGCAAUGGCAUAAGCGUGCUUGACUGCGAGACCGACAAGUCGAGCAGAUGCGAAAGCAGGUCAUAGUGAUCCGGUGGCUUCUGAAUGGAAGGGCCAUCGCUCAACGGAUAAAAGGUACUCUGGGGAUAACAGGCUGAUACCGCCCAAGAGUUCAUAUCGACGGCGGUGUUUGGCACCUCGAUGUCGGCUCAUCUCAUCCUGGGGCUGAAGUCGGUCCCAAGGGUAUGGCUGUUCGCCAUUUAAAGAGGUACGUGAGCUGGGUUCAAAACGUCGUGAGACAGUUUGGUCCCUAUCUGCCGUGGGCGCUGGAAGAUUGACGGGGGCUGCUCCUAGUACGAGAGGACCGGAGUGGACGCACCUCUGGUGUA
rnacentral:rRNA from 1 species